rnacentral:misc_RNA from 1 species
AACGCACCUUGCGCCCCUUGGUAUUCCGAGGGGCAUGCCUGUUUGAGUGUCAUGAAAUAUCAAUCCCUCGGGUUUUCCCCGAUCGAUUGGACUUGGGCCUGCCUCCCUGGCUUGCCUUAAAUGCGUCAGUGGGCCAAGCCCCGAGCAGACUUAAUAAGUUUCGUCUCCCUCGGAGUGUAACCCUCUUAGAAACCCCCUUUUUAUCUCUGACCUCAAAUCAGGUAGGACUACCCGCUGAACUUAA